rnacentral:rRNA from 1 species
AUUGAACGCUGGCGGCAGGCCUAACACAUGCAAGUCGAGCGGUAACAUUUCAAAAGCUUGCUUUUGGAGAUGACGAGCGGCGGACGGGUGAGUAAUGCCUGGGAAAUUGCCCUGAUGUGGGGGAUAACCAUUGGAAACGAUGGCUAAUACCGCAUAGUAGCUUCGGCUUAAAGAGGGGGACCUUCGGGCCUCUCGCGUCAGGAUAUGCCCAGGUGGGAUUAGCUAGUUGGUGAGGUAAUGGCUCACCAAGGCGACGAUCCCUAGCUGGUCUGAGAGGAUGAUCAGCCACACUGGAACUGAGACACGGUCCAGACUCCUACGGGAGGCAGCAGUGGGGAAUAUUGCACAAUGGGCGCAAGCCUGAUGCAGCCAUGCCGCGUGUGUGAAGAAGCCUUCGGGUUGUAAAGCACUUUCAGUCGUGAGGAAGGGUGUGUAUUUAAUAGAUGCGCACUUUGACGUUAGCGACAGAAGAAGCACCGGCUAACUCCGUGC